UAGGGAAUCAUCCGCAAUGGGCGAAAGCCUGACGGUGCAAUGCCGCGUGAGUGAUGAAGGUCUUCGGAUCGUAAAGCUCUGUUAUAAGGGAAGAACCGGUGCCGUGCGAAUAGAGCGGCACCUUGACGGUACCUUAUCAGAAAGCCCCGGCUAACUACGUGCCAGCAGCCGCGGUAACACGUAGGGGGCAAGCGUUGUCCGGAAUUAUUGGGCGUAAAGGGCACGCAGGCGGCUUCUUAAGUCUGAUGUGAAAGCCCGUGGCUCAACCACGGAAUCGCAUUGGAAACUGAGGAGCUUGAGUGCAGGAGAGGAGAGCGGAAUUCCACGUGUAGCGGUGAAAUGCGUAGAUAUGUGGAGGAACACCAGUGGCGAAGGCGGCUCUCUGGCCUGUAACUGGCGCUGAGGUGCGAAAGCGUGGGGAGCGAACAG
rnacentral:rRNA from 1 species